rnacentral:lncRNA from 1 species
UUUUAAUAUAUGCCAUGCCAGGAGGGUAUGGGCUUUUAUGCACACUCCUUAAUUCAUGCACACUCCUUGGAUAUAUAAUAUUCUUUUCAUUUAUUUUUUAAAAUUUGAAAAUUAACUCUAAAUAUAUUUUAAUUAAUUUCAGACACUGGAUGAUGGAAGUCGUACUUCAUCACUGAACCAGAAUAUUAUUGGAUCAAGUGGAGGCAACAAGACAAAUUAGAAUUAGGACUAUGACAUUAGUUGUAAUAUAUUCAAAUAAAAUUUACAUUUUGACAAUUUAAUUUAAUUGUUUUUUGGAUUAGUUUGACAUUAUAAACUUUGUUAUCU